rnacentral:rRNA from 1 species
CAGUAGCCACGGGAAUACGGAGGGUGCAAGCGUUAAUCGGAAUUACUGGGCGUAAAGCGCACGCAGGCGGUCUGUCAAGUCAGAUGUGAAAUCCCCGGGCUUAACCUGGGAACUGCAUUUGAAACUGGCAGGCUAGAGUCUUGUAGAGGGGGGUAGAAUUCCAGGUGUAGCAGUGAAAUGCGUAGAGAUCGGAAGGAACAUCUGUGGUGAAGGCGACUAUCUGGGCCAACACUGACACUGAGACACGAAAGCGUGGGGAGCAAACAGGAUUAGAUACCCCUGUAGUCCCUGUCUCUUAUAC